rfam:Dipodomys ordii contig_28383, whole genome shotgun sequence.
GGUGGCUCAGUGGUAGAGCGCUUGCCUUAUAUGCAUGAGGCCCUGGGUUUGAUUCCCCAAGCACCA